GGCGGCGCGCCUAACACAUGCAAGUCGAACGAGUGGAACCCCUUCGGGGGUAAAGCUAGUGGCAGACGGGUGAGUAACACGUGGGUAACCUACCUCGAAGACUGGGAUAACUACUGGAAACGGUAGCUAAUACCGGAUAAUUCAUAUUUAGAUAACUAGAUAUGCUAAAGAAGCGUUUGCUUCACUUCGAGAUGGGCUUGCGUUGUAUUAGCUAGUUGGUGAGGUAAUGGCUCACCAAGGCAACGAUGCAUAUCCGAGCUGAGAGGCUGAACGGACACAUUGGGACUGAGACACGGCCCAGACUCCUACGGGAGACAGCAGUUAGGAAUAUUCGUCAAUGGGGGAAACCCUGAACGAGCAAUGCCGCGUGAGCGAUGAAGGUCUUAUAGAUCGUAAAGCUCUGUUGUAAAGGAAGAAACCUUAUCAUAGGAAAUGAUGGUAAGUUGACGGUACUUUACCAGAAAGCCCCGGCUAACUACGUG
rnacentral:rRNA from 1 species